rnacentral:rRNA from 1 species
GACGUAGGGCGCAAGCGUUGUCCGGAUUUAUUGGGCGUAAAGAGCUCGUAGGCGGCUUGUCACGUCGGGUGUGAAAGACCGGGGCUUAACUCCGGUUCUGCAUUCGAUACGGGCUAGCUAGAGUGUGGUAGGGGAGAUCGGAAUUCCUGGUGUAGCGGUGAAAUGCGCAGAUAUCAGGAGGAACACCGGUGGCGAAGGCGGAUCUCUGGGCCAUUACUGACGCUGAGGAGCGAAAGCGUGGGGAGCGAACAGG